rnacentral:rRNA from 1 species
AGAGUUUGAUCAUGGCUCAGAACGAACGCUGGCGGCGUGGAUAAGACAUGCAAGUCGCACGGAGUGCCUUCGGGCACUGAGUGGCGCACGGGUGAGUAACACGUGAGUAACCUGCCCCUGAGACAGGGAUAGCCCCGGGAAACUGGGAUUAAUACCUGAUGGUCUCGCAAGAGUAAAGCAGCAAUGCGCUCAGGGAGGGGCUCGCGUCCUAUUAGUUAGUUGGCGGGGUAACGGCCCACCAAGGCGAUGACGGGUAGCCGGUCUGAGAGGAUGUCCGGCCACACUGGAACUGAGACACGGUCCAGACACCUACGGGUGGCAGCAGUCGAGAAUCAUUCACAAUGGGCGAAAGCCUGAUGGUGCGACGCCGCGUGGGGGAGGAAGGUCUUCGGAUUGUAAACCCCUGUCAUGUGGGAGCAAGACUUCGGUUUGAUAGUACCACAAGAGGAAGAGACGGCAAACUCUGUGCCAGCAGCCGCGGUAAUACAGAGGUCUCAAGCGUUGUUCGGAAUCACUGGGCGUAAAGGGUACGUAGGCGGCAUCAUAAGUCGUGCGUGAAAGGCAGGGGCUCAACCUCUGGAGUGCGCGUGAUACUGUGAUGCUGGAGUAAUGGAGGGGGAACCGGAAUUCUUGGUGUAGCAGUGAAAUGCGUAGAUAUCAAGAAGAAGACUCGUGGCGAAGGCGGGUUCCUGGACAUUUACUGACGCUGAGGUACGAAGGCCAGGGUAGCGAAAGGGAUUAGAUACCCCUGUAGUCCUGGCAGUAAACGGUGCAUGCUUGGUGUGCGGGGAAUCGACCCCCUGCGUGCCGGAGUUAACACGUUAAGCAUGCCGCCUGGGGAGUACGGUCGCAAGAUUAAAACUCAAAGAAAUUGACGGGGACCCGCACAAGCGGUGGAGUAUGUGGCUUAAUUCGAUGCAACGCGAAGAACCUUACCAAGGCUUGACAUCCUGGGACCGUCUGUGAAAGCAGAUUUUCUAUUCGUAGACCCAGAGACAGGUGCUGCAUGGCCGUCGUCAGCUCGUGUCGUGAGAUGUUUGGUUAAGUCCAGCAACGAGCGCAACCCCUGCUGCCAGUUACCAUCAUUAAGUUGGGGACUCUGGCGGGACUGCCCAGAUCAACUGGGAGGAAGGUGGGGACGACGUCAGGUCAGUAUGGCCCUUAUGCCUUGGGCUGCGCACGUACUACAAUGCCCAGUACAGAGGGAAGCCAACCCGCGAGGGUGAGCGGAUCCCGAAAAGUGGGCCCAGUUCGGAUUGGAGGCUGCAACUCGCCUCCAUGAAGCCGGAAUCGCUAGUAAUGGCGCAUCAGCUACGGCGCCGUGAAUACGUUCCCGGGUCUUGUACACACCGCCCGUCACAUCAUGGAAGCCGGUCGCACCCGAAGUAUCAGGAGCCAACCGUAAGGAGGCAUGGUCCUAAGGUGAGACUGGUAACUGGGAUGAAGUCGUAACAAGGUAGCCGUAGGGGAACCUGCGGCUGGAUCACCUCCUU